AGUGCGCAGAGGGAAUUAUGGGUAAAAUAUUGCUAAAUUUAUUUAGUGUCCAUAUGAAGUGCAAACGGUGAAAGUGCGUCGUAAUUAGUGAAACUUUUUAAUUGAUUAGAAGCAAUGGAUCAAGAUAAAAUCAUUCAUAUCAACGAUCAUCACAACAGGGUACAACUAUAAAGAAGAACGUGUCGAACAAGAGAGACUAUCAUCGACAUAUCGAACAGAUACAACUGUAACAGAAAUUAUAUACCGAGCAGAUGCAACUAUAAAGAGAUACCAUUCUACAUGAAGUGGUUAUAUUGACAUUGUACAUUCAUACAUUGUACAUUACGAUACAUUUAAGAGGAAAGUUCUAGUGUAGAUAAAUAUAUAGAAUUUGAUAAUAUGAAUGAAGUUUUAAACAAGAACUUUAAAACUUUGUAUCCAAAGUUGGAAAAUGCUGUGAACAAUGCAACUUUUAUUGCCAUCGAUGCUGAAUUUACUGGUUUAUAUUCAGAAGAGAAAUUGAAACAUAGCUUUUUCGAUUCGUUCAAUGAUCGUUAUAAAUUAUUAAAGAAAAAUAUUCAACAAUUUAUGAUAAUACAAUUUGGUAUUGCAACUUUCCGUCAUGUUCCUUAUGAAAAUACCUAUAAAGUAGAUUGUUUUAAUUCUUAUUUGUUUCCAAAAUCUAUACCAUUAAAAAAUAGACAUUUAAUAUGGCAAGUGGCAGCAUUAGAGUUCCUUUGUAAACAUAAUUUUGAAUUUAAUAAAUUUUUAAAUGAAGGUAUUUCGUUCUUGGAUGAGACAGAUGAAAAGUUAUUAAAGAAUUAUAUAAAAGGAGGUAGUUUAGCAUAUAAUUUAAAUCAUUUAACAUAUGAAGAGGAAAAUGAGUUCAUAGAUUAUAAAACUAAGAUUUCUGAAUGGAUUGCUAAUAAUAAGAGUGAACAAACAUUAAACAUACAAACUUCUAAUCCUAUAUUACAAUAUUUGAUACAUAAAGAUAUAAGGUACAAUUAUAAAAAUAUUUGGAGUAUAUCGGAUCAUAAAUCAGUAUGUAUUGUAGAAAUAUCACCUGACAUGCAUGAACUUUUAAAAAAGAAUGAUGAAGAAAAUUUGGAGAAAGAAUUGUUAGAUUAUUACAUAGGAUUUUCUAAAGUAUUUAAACUUUUAUCCUCCUCUAAAAAAAUAAUAAUAGGACACAAUAUACUUUUAGAUUUGAUGUUUAUGCAUCAACAAUUUUAUAAACCACUGCCAAAUUCAUAUAAUGAAUUCAAAAACAAUAUACAUGAAUUAUUUCCACAAAUAUAUGAUACAAAAUUUUUAAGUUACGAAGUACGAAAAUUAUUUAGCAAGGAAGAAGUGAGUUGGAAAAUAAGUUCAUUGAGUACUUUAUACGAAUAUUUUACAACUAAAGGAAAGUUAUUAACCUUGAAUUCACCAAAGAUUGUAAUUAAUGAAGAAUCUUCAAUCCCAGAUAUUAUCCUAGAUGAAAAAAAGUAUCAUACUGCUGGAUGGGAUGCUUACUUUGCUGGAUAUAUAUAUAUAAAAAUGGCACACAUAUUUUGUGUAAAUAAAUUUGGAACAGGUUUGGAAGAAAGAAGAGCAACGCAUGCUGAACUAAUAAACAGCAUAAAAAACUUUGUAAAUUGUAUAAAUAUAACAAGAGGCAAUGAAAUGUAUAUGAAAUUUGAUGGUCCAGACCCAAUGUUAUCAAGACCAGAAUGGCUUCAUGUAAAGUUAAAAUCACCAACUGUAGAUAUUAAACAGUUGAUGGAGAAGUUUUCAUCUUUUGGCCAAGUGGAUGUGAUGCCUUUUGCUCAAAGACGUGUUUUGGUAGCUGUAGCAAACCACAAAAGCGCGUUACACAUAUUGCGGCAUUUCAAUAGCAGCGAGGAAUUUCAAGUGGCACGGUAUAGUCGCAUAAGGCACGCGACACCCAUCAGCAUCUGUUUGUGGAGCGGAGUCAUCUUGUCCGGAAGCUUAUUUGCCUGGAUGUUGAAAAAAUGCUUUUAAAAAGCUACUUGAAUGCGAAUAUUUAUCUGAAUGCAGUUAUCAUUUGUGAUUGAAUAAUAAUCGUUUGCAGCUACUCGCGCGGAUCACUUUGUGCUACUUUGUACUUAUCACAGAAUCCUGAUGGCCGAGGAAGAGACCAAGUGCUCCUCGAUAUUUCAAAAGUUUUCUCUGGCCAACACCCAAGGCUAAAACACUCGAAAUAACGCAGUAGCAAUUCGUGUAGGCGUACUGCCGGACGGUCAGCUUGGUCACACUGGUAUCCGGUGGCAGGUGGAGCAGCUCUUGAGGUGGAUCCCAUUCUGUGUCUGUCUGGAUCUCCGGAUUCAACGAUGGAUGUAAAGGUCGUGAGCGCCAGGAACGAGGUCUAUGGAACUAGGUUAACUAAAUUCACCAUUUUCUCUUCUUAUUGAACAUCGAAUAUCACGAGCCAUACGAGGCUAUUGUUCCUUUAGGAUUCUCUUGGUAAUUGCUGUUAAUUAUCUUUGUAACUUAUCCGUUAUGUAUCUUCCUUUAUUGUAGGUAUAUAAAUCAAGAUUAAUCUUCUCGCUAUUUAAAUUAUAUUUAAUACCUUCUUAUUUUAUUCCAAAUCAUUAUUUUUUUGAAAUUAUAUUUUCAAAGUUAAAGAAAUAAAGAAUGAAGAAAGAUGAUUUGAUUGGUUAUCAUUAAUUUUGCAGAUAUUACACUAUAAUGAAUAUUUUAACUCGUAUAUUUCUAGAUAAAGAUAAAUAUAAUCCUCACACUUUUCUUAAGUGAAGAGAAAUUGCUAAACUUAUAUACCAAUUAAAUUAUUUCAAUAAAUUAUUUCAAAUCAUUGAAAUCUUGAAAUUUUUUUUCAUAGAAAUAUUCUUUAACUUAUGAUAUUUAGAUUCAAUCAUGCUCACCUAAAAUAAAUCAUCAUCUCUCCUGAAUCUUCUAUCAUUUCCAUAUUCAUUUCCAAUUAAAAUUCCCCAUUUUCUUAUUUCACAGAAUAAUUAACGAACGAAUAAAGUCUCGAAAGAAAAAAAAUUGGUUGGUAACAAGACCUACUUUAUUCCCCGUGCAAAAAAGUUUGAAAAACGAUAUCACGUGGCCACCCAAAAAUACUACGAGAGGUGACUCGAUCCAAUCGCCUUCACCUAUCGGUCCGGCCAGGACAAGAAGCGGCUUGGUCGGGUUGUACUGCCAG
rnacentral:misc_RNA from 1 species